rnacentral:lncRNA from 1 species
UCAGAAACCAUAAUAAGCAGGAAGGUCACAGCUGAAGCACUAGUGUAUUUGUUCAGAACAUACGGGUAUAUGUCACUCAAGUACUCAACGUGCUAGUACAUGCCAAAGGAUUCGACUUGCCCUGCAGAAGCGAGAAGCCACAGACGAGACGAACUGCGUAGGAAUCAGAUCCCCCUUCCUCCGCUCCGGCGUCCCCGCCGCCGCUGCCGGGGAAGAGCGGAAGCCACGGUGCCGCCGACGCGACGCCGGCAGCAGCUCAUCAUCAAGGCCGGCGAUGCGCCAGAGCCUCCUGAGCAGAGCAGCAUUGGCAUGGCGGCCACCACCACCGUGCCAGGAUCUAUCUCAUCUCAUCUCAUCUCAUGCCUGGAUCCAGAUCGAGGCGUAC